CGAAAGUGGCCAGAAGAAUUUGAGAACAGCCACACAGGGAAGCCCCUUGACCCACUGGCCACCCUCUUCCAGGAGAUGCAAGCGUGAUGGUUAAAUGUGACAACUGAAGCUGGUCUGCUGAAGAUAAGGCUGCAGUCAGGAACUGGCUCCAGAGCAGGAGAGUGUGCUGAGGUGGCACAGGAGUACGAGGCUGAAAGGCCCUGAGACAAGAAGAUUGAACUCUCUGAGACUCCCUUUCAGGACUACCACUUGCCAAUGCGGUACUUUGGUGCAAUUUGAAAGAGGUGCCCCAUCUAGGCACAUGCCUUGGAUGAAGAGCCCAAUGGAAGAAUUUCUCUGUAAACCAAUGCUGCUGGGAAGGAGAUUUCCAUCCCCGGGGAAACCUAAGUAAGGUCCACCAUGAGCGAGAGCUGGGCUCCGAGACUGCCUUAGGAGAGGGGGCCUGGUCAAUCGCUAUCCCUUUCAGGAUUCCCUAAAACCCUCUCACCCCAGGAGGAUUUAUACACCAGGGAAGGUCAGAUGUGAGGCGAAAUGGUCUCUGUGUUUUAGAAGCAGAUGGUUAGGUUUCCACUCAAGAAUUCUCGUGCUUAUGAAAAAAGAAUACUGAUAUGGUUUGGCUCUGUGUCCCCACCCAUAUCUCACCUUGAAUUGUAAUCAAAGGCAGGACCAGGUGGAGGUAAUUGAAUCAUGGGGGUGGUUUCCCUCAUGCUGUUCUCGUGAUAAUGAGUGAGUUCUCAUGAGAACUGAUGGCUUUAUAAGCAUCUGGCAUUCCCCCUACUGGCACUCAUUCUCUCUCCUGCUGCCCUGUGAAGAGGUGCCUUCCACCAUGAUUGUAAGUUUCCUGAGGCCUCCCCAGUCAUGCAGAACUGUGAGUCAAUUAAACCUCCUUUCUUUAUAAAUUACCCAGUCUCGAGCAUUUCUUUAUAGCAGCAUGAGAACAGACUAAUACAAAUAUCAUGAAUGGUAGCCCCUGACACACACACAUAUGUACUCCAUUACUCCACAAACCCAUACCCAUACUCGUGUACACACACUCAUGAACACAAACACACAUCCAUACCACACACUCACAGUGCACACCAAUACAGUGACACCAUGCACGAACUUCACACAUGCUCACAUCACAGCUCACACGGAUACUCCAUACACACAUUCAUGUCCCACACAGUCAUGGACAGGCAGGCCCACCACACUCAUCUCCCCUCAUACCCCCACCUGCACACAACUGUGAGAAGAAAAGAGCCAUCAGGAGCUGUCUCUCUCUGGCUGGUAGUGAAAAAAGAUUAGGGCUGCCCAAGAUUAAAC
rnacentral:lncRNA from 1 species